GCUGGGUGUGGUGGUGCACACCUGUAGUCCCAGCUACUUGGGAGGCUGAGGCAGGAGAAUCGCUUGAGCUCAGGAGGUUGAGGCUGCAGUGAGUCGUGAUCAUGCCACUGUAUUCCAGCCUGGGUGACAGAGUGACAUCUUGCCUCAA
rfam:Homo sapiens chromosome 17, GRCh38 reference primary assembly.